AAGUCGUAACAAGGUUUCCGUAGGUGAACCUGCGGAAGGAUCAUUAUUGAAUGAAUGUAGAGUUGGUUGUCGCUGGCCCUUUCGGGGGCAUGUGCACGCCUUCUCUUUCAUCCACACACACCUGUGCACUUGUGAGACGGAGGGACUUUAAUUAGUCUUCCGUCUACUUAAUUACACAAACUCAUUUAAUUAAAUUGAAUGUAAUUGAUGUAACGCAUCAUUAGAACUAAGUUUCAACAACGGAUCUCUUGGCUCUC
rnacentral:misc_RNA from 1 species